AUGAAGAGUUUGAUCCUGGCUCAGGAUGAACGCUAGCUACAGGCUUAACACAUGCAAGUCGAGGGGCAGCAUUUUAGUUUGCUUGCAAACUGAAGAUGGCGACCGGCGCACGGGUGAGUAACACGUAUCCAACCUGCCGAUAACUCCGGAAUAGCCUUUCGAAAGAAAGAUUAAUACCGGAUAGUAUACGAAUAUCGCAUGAUAUUUUUAUUAAAGAAUUUCGGUUAUCGAUGGGGAUGCGUUCCAUUAGUUUGUUGGCGGGGUAACGGCCCACCAAGACUACGAUGGAUAGGGGUUCUGAGAGGAAGGUCCCCCACAUUGGAACUGAGACACGGUCCAAACUCCUACGGGAGGCAGCAGUGAGGAAUAUUGGUCAAUGGGCGAGAGCCUGAACCAGCCAAGUAGCGUGAAGGAUGAAGGCUCUAUGGGUCGUAAACUUCUUUUAUAUGGGAAUAAAGUUUUCCACGUGUGGAAUUUUGUAUGUACCAUAUGAAUAAGGAUCGGCUAACUCCGUGCCAGCAGCCGCGGUAAUACGGAGGAUCCGAGCGUUAUCCGGAUUUAUUGGGUUUAAAGGGAGCGUAGGUGGAUUGUUAAGUCAGUUGUGAAAGUUUGCGGCUCAACCGUAAAAUUGCAGUUGAAACUGGGAGUCUUGAGUACAGUAGAGGUGGGCGGAAUUCGUGGUGUAGCGGUGAAAUGCUUAGAUAUCACGAAGAACUCCGAUUGCGAAGGCAGCUCACUAGACUGUCACUGACACUGAUGCUCGAAAGUGUGGGUAUCAAACAGGAUUAGAUACCCUGGUAGUCCACACAGUAAACGAUGAAUACUCGCUGUUUGCGAUAUACAGUAAGCGGCCAAGCGAAAGCAUUAAGUAUUCCACCUGGGGAGUACGCCGGCAACGGUGAAACUCAAAGGAAUUGACGGGGGCCCGCACAAGCGGAGGAACAUGUGGUUUAAUUCGAUGAUACGCGAGGAACCUUACCCGGGCUUAAAUUGCAACAGAAUAUAUUGGAAACAGUAUAGCCGUAAGGCUGUUGUGAAGGUGCUGCAUGGUUGUCGUCAGCUCGUGCCGUGAGGUGUCGGCUUAAGUGCCAUAACGAGCGCAACCCUUAUCUUUAGUUACUAACAGGUCAUGCUGAGGACUCUAGAGAGACUGCCGUCGUAAGAUGUGAGGAAGGUGGGGAUGACGUCAAAUCAGCACGGCCCUUACGUCCGGGGCUACACACGUGUUACAAUGGGGGGUACAGAAGGCGGCUACCUGGUGACAGGAUGCUAAUCCCAAAAACCUCUCUCAGUUCGGAUCGAAGUCUGCAACCCGACUUCGUGAAGCUGGAUUCGCUAGUAAUCGCGCAUCAGCCAUGGCGCGGUGAAUACGUUCCCGGGCCUUGUACACACCGCCCGUCAAGCCAUGAAAGCCGGGGGUACCUGAAGUACGUAACCGCAAGGAGCGUCCUAGGGUAAAACUGGUAAUUGGGGCUAAGUCGUAACAAGGUAGCCGUACCGGAAGGUGCGGCUGGAACACCUCCUUU
rnacentral:rRNA from 1 species